rnacentral:sRNA from 1 species
AUGUACCACUCGUACACUCCGGUUCCUCGGCGCCGUCCACACCCGCCUGACGACUGCUCGCUACGUUUUGUUAGCC